GGUUACUGCUAUCGGUGUUCGCCUAAGCCAUGCGAGUCAUAUGUUCGUAAGAACAUGGCGUACUGCUCAGUAACACGUGGAUAACCUGCCCUUGGGUCCGGCAUAACCACGGGAAACUGGGGAUAAUUCCGGAUAACGCACAUAUGCUGGAAUGCUUUAUGCGUAAAAUGGAUUCGUCUGCCCAAGGAUGGGUCUGCGGCCUAUCAGGUAGUAGUGGGUGUAAUGUACCUACUAGCCUACGACGGGUACGGGUUGUGAGAGCAAGAGCCCGGAGAUGGAUUCUGAGACAUGAAUCCAGGCCCUACGGGGCGCAGCAGGCGCGAAAACUUUACAAUGCGGGAAACCGUGAUAAGGGGACACCGAGUGCCAGCAUCCUAUGCUGGCUGUCCGGGUGUGUAAAAUACACCUGUUAGCAAGGGCCGGGCAAGACCGGUGCCAGCCACCGCGGUAACACCGGCGGCCCGAGUGGUGAUCGUGAUUAUUGGGUCUAAAGGGUCCGUAGCCGGUUUGGUCAGUCCUCCGGGAAAUCUGACAGCUUAACUGUUAGGCUUUCGGAGGAUACUGCCAGACUUGGAACCGGGAGAGGUAAGAGGUACUACAGGGGUAGGAGUGAAAUCUUGUAAUCCCUGUGGGACCACCUGUGGCGAAGGCGUCUUACCAGAACGGGUUCGACGGUGAGGGACGAAAGCUGGGGGCACGAACCGGAUUAGAUGCCCGGGUAGUCCCAGCCGUAAACGAUGCUCGCUAGGUGUCAGGCACGGCGCGACCGUGUCUGGUGCCGCAGGGAAGCCGUGAAGCGAGCCACCUGGGAAGUACGGCCGCAAGGCUGAAACUUAA
rnacentral:rRNA from 1 species